UAUGAGCCGUAGCACAGGACGUCUGCAUUCAAUUGAGCCGUGGCACAGGAUGUUGCAUCAGGACCUGCGGCGACGUGUAGUUUCUCCGACGACCGCAACUGGAAUCGAACGGGUUGGAGUUCUUACUCGAUCCGGCAGAUAGGUUUCCUCUGAGAUCUAAAGGAGGAGUUCGCCGACAGCUUGAAGCAGCCGAAUCCUGUGCCCCUGGCGCUGCUCCCACGGGGUGCAGCCGAAUCCUCGGCUGGAGCUGAAUAUAGUGGCGCCACCGGGUGUGCGCUCAAUGCGGGACUUCCGACCAGAAGCGGAGAAGAAGUGCGGCGAAGGAAGAAUGCAUCGUUGACGCAGUCUGUCCAGUCCACGGGGAAGGUGAAGCCGGAAGCACCGGGCUGGAUGAAGAGCUAGAGGCACAGAACAGGCUGUCUUGCAGAUCAGACUGUUCCUCUUUUGUUCCAAUUUGUUCGGUGAGUCUUGCGUACUUUGUUGCUGAAUACUGGACCAAUCUGUAGGACAUGCCCUCCGACCUUUUUGUAGGAGCGAGCAAUCAUUUUCAGAGCAUUAUGUUGGCUGAAUUUUUUAUGAGGGAUGAGCAAGUCGAGAGUCUUGAGUGGGUAUUUUCUGAGUUCCUAAAUACGAUGGGCAGGUUGGUGCUGAAGUCCAUCUUCACAGAUCACAAUAGAGCCAUGGAGGUAGCUAUCAGGAAAGUAUAUCCAGGGAAAUGAACAAUUGUAGCUCACCUUGCUGGUGGGUCUGCUCUUAAUGUUUAUUAUUUCAUUGCUCGCAGUUCUUUCGUUAGAUCUGUUGUGUGAUGAUACAAUGCGUAUGUGUAUUUGAGGAAAAUGACAAUUGACUGCAAGUGAACUCCUUGGUAUGUUUAGCUGAAAUUUGCUGAACUGAGCACUGGUGUGUAGUAACAUCGAAACCAUCAUGUAUUGGCCGAAGAGUUCAGUCCUUUAGAUUGUUUCUGAAAUAGUUAUAACUAAAAGAUUGCCUUCAUUUAAUAUUGAUUUCGAGAGUACUGUUGUUUUGAACAAUACUAGUUUAGCAGCAUGUUAUGUUGACAUGCACUUCUUGAAAACAGUCCCUGCCUAGGAACACUAGAAGCUGGAGAGAACGGAGAAGCCCAGUUUUUAGAAUUAAAAGAGAAACUAAAAGUUGUGGACUUGAUCGGUC